UUCCAUCAUAGCAACACGGCUCAGUACGAAAGGAACCACCGUGUACGAUAAUUGAUAAUGCCCUUGCCUGAAAAGGCAAGGCAGCAAAGCUAACAUCUGAAGUCCAAUGACUGACCGCCUCUGAGUCAGAAGACAUGCUAGGUGCGGAG
rnacentral:ncRNA from 1 species